rnacentral:rRNA from 1 species
GACGAACGCUGGCGGCGUGCUUAACACAUGCAAGUCGAACGGAAAGGCCCUGCUUUCGUGGGGUUCUCGAGGGGGGAACGGGAGAGUAACACGUGAGUAACCUGCCCUUGACUUUGGGAUAACUUCAGGAAACUGGGGCUAAUACCGGAUAGGAGCUCCUGCUGCAUGGGGGGGGUCGGAAAGUUUCGGCGGUUGGGGAUGGACUCGCGGCUUAUCAGCUUGUUGGUGGGGUAGUGGCUUACCAGGGCUUUGACGGGUAGCCGGCCUGAGAGGGUGACCGGCCACAUUGGGACUGCGGUACGGCCCAGACUCCUACGGUAGGCAGCGGUGGGGAAUAUUGCACAAUGGGCGGAAGCCUGAUGCAGCAACGCCGCGUGCGGGAUGACGGCCUUCGGGUUGUAAACCGCUUUCGCCUGUGACGAAGCGUGAGUGACGGUAAUGGGUAAAGAAGCACCGGCUAACUACGUG